rfam:Trichobilharzia regenti genome assembly, scaffold: TRE_scaffold0012270
GUGUUGCCGAAGAGUCCCACACUGGGACGAAACAGAUGUCCAGUAC